rnacentral:rRNA from 1 species
UACGUAGGGGGCAAGCGUUGUCCGGAAUCACUGGGCGUAAAGGGUGCGUAGGCGGUUCGGCAAGUCGACGGUGAAAUCUCCACGCUCAACGUGGAGGGGUCCGUCGAUACUGCCGUGACUCGAGUCCGGUAGGGGAGAAUGGAAUUCCCGGUGUAGCGGUGAAAUGCGUAGAUAUCUGGAGGAACACCGGUGGCGAAGGCGGCAUCCUGGACCGGUAUUGACGCUGAUGCGCGAAAGCCAGGGGAGCAAACGGG